AAGAAUCAAACUAGGGCUUCCCCGAAACUUCUUAUAGAGGCCUUUCCGUAGUCAACUAGCCAAGCAACUUCCAAUUUCAAGAAAAGAAUAAGGAGCUAGUGAGGAAGCGUUUCAAGAAAAGAAUAAGGAGCUAGUGAGGAAGCGGGAAGGGAAUCGAAUUAUGUGCGAAGAAAGUCCACUCAAGAAGAAGAGGUUAAGAUAUGCGAGUUUAGGCAAUCAAUAUGUUAGGAAGAAAUGCACUAGAACACAACUUCUUCGGUUGGAAAUGAAGAACAAACAGGAACUAGCGGCCCAGCCUCCCUAGAUACAGGACUAGCUAAGUAUAAGUAAGCACUAGAAUGGGGCCAGAAUACAACACUUGCCAGCGCAUUAGAUACUGGGGGAGCGGGUACGCGCAUUCAAUGAUUUUCUCGAAGUAGAGAGGUCCGGGGAAGAAUCAAGAUAAAGUACUGGCUUUGAAGCAUGGCGUCAGGGGAGCUCAACUGUUCUAGUUCAUUUAAGCCUACUAAUGGAAUUGCCAGAAGGACAAAAGAUACAAUAAACUCGGGGUCGAGAGAGACCCUUGACUAGCACUAGGCUGGGUUGCUCCUUUCUG
rnacentral:lncRNA from 1 species